rnacentral:tRNA from 2 species
GAUAAGGUGGCUGAAUUUUAGGUUAUAAAUUGUAAAUUUAUAUAUGGUGUAAUAUACCUCUUAUCA